CCUAGUGUCUCUCUAAGCAAAACUCCUUCCAUAACUGUAUUGCCUCCUGGCAUGUGUGAGUGUAGGUCUAGGAAAGGUCACAAACUUGGUCUCACUCUAGAACCCUUUCAAGGUUCUCUAACUUCAUUACCUGCCUGUCCACACAGCCCCAGAAGAAUGCCCAAUGUGUGAGUGUGAGUAUGUGUGCAUGUGUGUGUAUUAGAGUGCUGGCAGGGAAAGAAUCAUCAGAGAGAGAAAAAAGAGGUCUGAGAAGAAACAAUCCAAUCUGUGAAUGCCUUUGUGAUUUUAACAUGGAAAAAUAUUGACAGUGCCAUUUUCUUCCCCUCCUCCUGGAACAGAACAAAAGCCAGAAUUCUCACCAGCCCACUUGAUGGCUAAAUCUGGCUCCAAAUUUUGAUAGAGUAUUAGCAUGAAAAUAUUGCAGUAUAUUUGGUCAAAGUCUAAAUACCUUCUUGAUAAAUAAUGCUCAUUCCAUUUCCAAACAUAGGUAAAUUUAGAUUCUAAGCCUCUAGAUAUAAAUUUCUAUUUGCCUUGGAGUGAAGGAAGCUACUCAGCAGUCUUCAUUAAGAUUGCUGAGGUCAUUCUUGACCGCCUAUUACGUUAAAAUAGAGAUCACUGACUCUGGGUGAGAGCUACAGAAUAUAGAGCCCCGCCUCUUGCCAGUAAGCAGAGCCAGUAGGAACACAGGCAGGGAUACAAAGGGCAGGAUCUCCUUACUGAAAUGGAUAAAAGUGUAAGUUCGGUUUUGCUAAAUAGGCUACUCAAAGGAAAUUCAUAUUAUUUGAAUUUAACCUUUAGUAUGUUUUCUCAGGAACAGAAACAAAGUGUGAGUUCCAAAGCAUAGAUGGAAAUCACCCAGUUAUUCCACUUCAUGACUUAAAACUACAGUAUACUUUUUGACCGUAAGCUGGCCAACACUUCAGGGCAUCAUUGAAUUAAACAGAAAAUGCUAAGACAAUCAGAUUUCCACUGACAUGCCUAGAAGAUACACAACUCCCAUGGGUUCAGUGGCCUUUGCUACAGCUUUUGGCUUUUUGUUUCAUUUUGAAUUUAAAAUGUCUAUGGCCUAAACCUUCCCAACUUAGCUCAGAGAAAUCAAGUGCUAUAGAAGAAGAAUUCUGCAUCCUAAGUUACUAGAACCAGAGAGGCAGAGGAUUCACAAAAAUGUUUCAAAUCAUCCUAUCUUAGCAUUACAGAGGAUGUCUAAAUGAUUGUUCACUAAAUGAUUACAGCAAUGGGUUGUCCAUAUAUCUUUUUCAUUACAAUACCCUCUUUUAAACAAUCUACCCUAUGAUAAAGCUUCCUACUUUCAUGCACUUUUAAGUAUUCACUGUCAUCUGGUACAUUAAUGUACUUGGUUAUAAUUUAAAUAAACGACAUAGGGAACUUUUUCUUGACUUAAGAAUAAAAGAUUAAGAAAGUAAAGGAUUUCAUGAUAAUUUUUACAUUUUUUUUAUUCUGCUUUUUAAAAAUUUAUCUAUGGCUUCAAAGUUUAAGUAGCACUUACUUGGAUUCUGGGUGUUUUCAUGAUUUCCUAAGUUGCCAUCUUAUUAUGAAGGUAAAUGUGUCAUUUUAUAUGUGAGACAUUUUAUAAACAGCUUUUAAAAAAAUCAGUAAAUUAUAUCUGUCAUCCCUUUUGUUCUACACUAUUAGAUUUUUUUUUAAGUGGCUUUGUAAUUGUCAGGUUAAAAAACCCAGCUGACCAUGCAAGUAACAAUUUACACCUAACCAGGAACCAGCUGCUACAUACCCAAGUAGCUCGGUAAUGGAGAAGCUCUUCCAAGGUUCCUUGGCCUCUUACCAUCUUAAUCCAAAGUGAAGCGAUUAUCCUUUCUGCUUUUGCAUGUGAAUUUGCACUUGAGCAGUUUAACAGUUAGUUAUUAAAACUCAUGCUUUAUAAGCAAAAUCUUUCACUGACGAAUAUUUAAAAAGAAUAUAAAAACCGUAGGUCGAGUAUCUCCUUGCCAUGCUUUUCCUCAGCAAAGUCACUUGUAAGAGCUCAAAACAAAUCCUUAACACGUUCAGAGUUCUCUUCAUUCCAAUCACUGAAUAUUAAUCCUCCAACAUAAACUCAAGAGAGAAACAGGCAGCCACAGAAUGGACUCUAAAUUGAAAGUGGCAAAGCCUACCAAGACAAUUCCAUAGACACUUCUCUGAAG